AGUGAAGCUCUUGUGUUAUGGAGGCAGGAGUUUCCUUGGCAUCCCUUGGGAAUGCUGCCUUUGCCUGGGGAGGAGAGGGGAGCCACAGCAGCUGGGAUGAGCAGAAGGUGAUGCCUGGCUUUGAGGUCAGAAGCCUUUUGAUCUUCAUGGAGCUCACCACGAGGGAGAGGUGUUCAGGCUGCAGAUCUGGCUGCACAUUGGAAGGGGCUUUGGAGGACAUUUGCUGUUUCUGAGGCCAUCAACGAUCACGUUCCUCCAGUUUCCUUCUGGUUUCUGCUCUUUCUUGGGGUUAAUAUUGCAGUAGGGAAGAAUAAAAGGCCCUUUCUAUCUUCAGGAUCUAAAAUGAAGGAACUGAACAGACAGAAAAUUACAAACUUCAUUUUAGAAUUAUUAAUGGUUGAAUUUACUGAACUCUUGGCCUUAAGGAACAAUAUCCAAACAGGUGCUGCCCAGGCAGAAGUCUGUGUUUGAAUGGGCUGUGUGCACACAGAGUGUCUCUGCAGCAUCCCUGGAAGAGCAGCAUUGGUUGGCUGGGCACCCCAGCCCUGGAGGCUCCCAGCUGGCACUGGAGGACCCUGGCAGGACCAGGGACUGUGCCCUGAGGCAGGAGCUGGGCUGCCACAGCCAGAGUGAAGCCUCAAAGUGCAUUUAAGGUGUUGGAUUUUGCAAACAUGGAUGCAAGCAGCACUGUGUUUGUUAGCAAGUCCCCCAGCUGUCAUGGCACUGUGAGUGUUUUCCAGCUCUGACCUGGCCAGGGGAGAGGGGCCACUCCUGGGGAGCUCCAGCUUCCUGCAAACACAGCUCCAGGUGCUGCACACAGACAGGUACCCACAUAAUAUUUAUACUUUCCUAAUCUGGCAGCUUAAUUUGUACAAUCAUGUGGAAAAAAACCCAAAACAACCCCAAACAACUGGGGUUGAAUCACUGUUUUGUUUAUAUUUGAGAGAGAAUUCACUUGCCUGUUGUUUGCCAUUGCCCCCUCAGAAGAUGGAGGCCUCUGGCCAGCAGGAUGAAGUGUGGCUUUGUUUUACUAUUUACAGAGGCUGGAAAGCACGAUGGUGAAGAGAGAAAAAGAAUGCAAAUAACUUGUUUAUCCCCAGAGAUGGAUGCUUUGUGCUGUCACAAGCUGUGCUGUUGACUCAACCCAGCUUUAUUUCCCUGAACUGGGGGAGCUGACAAAGCUUGCUGAGGAAGGCUCCUAAGCCAGAGGGCUUUUGGUUUCAGGACAGCUCCAUGAAGCAUCCCAAUGUUUUGAUCUGGGGCAUCAAUUACAGGAGAAAGGAAAGGAAGGUGGGAAAUAAAGACUGUAAAAUAAAAUUUCCAAGUGCAGAUUUAAAAUCCCACAGGAAAAGUUAAAAGCAGGGUUAAGGCAAUAUUUCCAUCCUGCCUUAAUGUGACUUUUCUAGUGUGGCCAAUCUAAAUUCAACAUUGUAACUCAAGUCAUAUCAUCUUGCAUCCAUUUCACAAGAACAAAAAAACAAACCAAACCAAACCAAAACAAAACAAAACAAAGCAGCAAAAUGAAGCAUCUCAGUGCACAAGAGUGCACAUCCUGUCCCCAGGUUCCCUGCUCUCCUGCCUCUCUCUAGAUGCUGAGUACCCAAACGCAGUGUGACCUGCCAGGCAGUGCAGCCUCGCUGCUGGGAAUCUCAGGGAGGGAGUCCUGCCCAGGGGCUGACAGUGAGCUCAUGUCCAGGUCUGGACAAAGCCCAGCUCGACCCAAAUCCAAGCAGGAGAAAGCCACUGUCCUUUCUGUGCCAGCUGAAUUGCUGGGCUGGAAAAGUCAUUCAUGUAAGUAAAUGAUUACUGAUUGGCCUCUGUGUGGUGACUCCAUCACCAUCAAUAACCUUAACACAAUCUGUGAUCCUUCCAAAAAGACCAUCAUUAGGUGGACUGAUAUCAGCACAGCCUCCCAAGUCCAAGGCUUUGAUAUCAUCUCAUAAAUUAAGACGAUUUUCAGGCCAGACAACACUUCAGUAGUCUAUGUGGGAAUUGAAGGGCUGCUGCAAUGAGCCUUGUAAAAUAAAAUGCUGAAUAUAAAAAGGAGCAAACAACUGUUUGCCUUCAGCAUUCUGGAAGCUGUAUGUGGCCAAAAUAAUUUUAACAGAUGUGAUCAGAUGCCAUCUCCUUUCAGCAUGGAGUUAACAGCUUUGCAGUUCCUGAUGGCAGGGGAGAAGAUCCACCUGCCAGGGCACAAGGGAUGUGGUAGCAGAGAAGGGAGACCAACAGAAAAAGAAACUGCCAAGUCUUGCUGUCUGAGAGAAGUGAGGCUGCAAACAAAUCAUGCCAUAGUUAUCUAGACCCUGAUCUGGCUUUCCCUGAAGUGGGUGCCAAAGUGUCCCUUGGUUCACACUGCACAACAGGCUCCAGCUUGUUUCAUCUGUAAGUGAUACUGUGCCCCUGCAAAUGAUCUGUGUGAGCAGUCAAUGUGAUUCCCUGUGCCAGUGACAAAGCUGAUCUCAUGGGGAGCUGUGCCAAUGCUUUUAGACAGUAAACUUUUGGGCAAAAGUUAUGUAAAUGUUCAGAUUAAUUUAGAUAUGCAAGUAGCCCAGGAAAAUCAAUGGAAUCACUUAGAUGAUUAAAAUAACUUUGUCCAAAGUGUUUUUAGCCUCUGUAUAGGUCCUUGAUCUGUAUGGAUGGCUUGCACACUUGCAAAGAUUA